AGUAACGCGUAGGUAACCUGCCUGGUAGCGGGGGAUAACUAUUGGAAACGAUAGCUAAUACCGCAUAAAAUGGAUUAUCGCAUGAUAAUUCAUUGAAAGGUGCAAAUGCAUCACUACCAGAUGGACCUGCGUUGUAUUAGCUAGUUGGUGGGGUAACGGCUCACCAAGGCGACGAUACAUAGCCGACCUGAGAGGGUGAUCGGCCACACUGGGACUGAGACACGGCCCAGACUCCUACGGGAGGCAGCAGUAGGGAAUCUUCGGCAAUGGACGGAAGUCUGACCGAGCAACGCCGCGUGAGUGAAGAAGGUUUUCGGAUCGUAAAGCUCUGUUGUAAGAGAAGAACGAGUGUGAGAGUGGAAAGUUCACACUGUGACGGUAUCUUACCAGAAAGGGACGGCUAACUACGUGCCAGCAGCCGCGGUAAUACGUAGGUCCCGAGCGUUGUCCGGAUUUAUUGGGCGUAAAGCGAGCGCAGGCGGUUAGAUAAGUCUGAAGUUAAAGGCUGUGGCUUAACCAUAGUACGCUUUGGAAACUGUUUAACUUGAGUGCAAGAGGGGAGAGUGGAAUUCCAUGUGUAGCGGUGAAAUGCGUAGAUAUAUGGAGGAACACCGGUGGCGAAAGCGGCUCUCUGGCUUGUAACUGACGC
rnacentral:rRNA from 1 species